rnacentral:lncRNA from 1 species
GGUAUAGCUCAGUGGUAGCAUAUGAGGCUCUGGGUUUAAUCCCUAAGACCCACCCUACCCAAAUUGGUAAGAAUAUUGUAUCUUAGGGCUGGGGAUAUGCUCAGGAUAUAGCUCAGUGAUAAAGAUGUGUGUCUAAGCAUUUGUGAGGCCCUGGGUUUAAUCUCUAGUACCAUAAGAAUAUUGCAUCCAAAAUUCUAGAAAUCAUUUUAGUACAUUUUCUUGAUCUUACUACGGUGAAGCCAACAGACCAUAGACUAGUAGGUAGCGUGGAUUUUAAAAUAGACAUAUGAGUUCAGCUUUGUCCUAACCAUGUUUCUUGCUAGCUAGUCAGUCAGGUCUAAAUAGGAGGCAUGAAAGUGGGUUUUUACAUCCUAGAAGCUCCCAGAUUGAAGCCUCUCAUUUGGAUUUCAUAAGGGUGCUUGGUUAGAGUUUAGAGGAGGUUAUAACCUUUGAAGGAAAUGUUGACGCCCUAGAAAAUUAUUUCAACUUAAUAAGCUCGUUGUGAUCUUAGUUAUUUUAUGUUCAAAUAAAGUGGAAAAACAUUUCUGAUUUGUGCUGAUAAUAUAAAUGGCAAAAAUAUGAAAUGCAACUUUAAGUGAUACUUAGCCCAAAAGAAAAGAUGUUAGAAUUACUAUAACGUUUCAGAUCAAAAUAACCUUAAUGAAAUUCCUGCAUAUAUCCCAAGUGGUGGCAACCAUUGUUGCAUAUUUUUUUUUCAACUGCUUAGAAACCUUUUGUUUGGUUGCUGGCUAGUUGCCAUGGUCACAUUGUGUCUGAGAUUAGAGUAGUGACCUCUGCUAUCAGUGUAACUCAAGACACCCAGGCUUAGAGCUUGACUAUCUGGGGAAUCUUAUUGUGUGCUGGAGCCACAGUCAACAUGAAUCAGAGGGUUCUGAAGAAACUGGUGGAACCCAUCAGUAAAACUGUCAAGAGCUGUAAGUACUGACCAGACAUCCUAUACUGCCUGAACAUUGGUUCUGUCAAAUUAAAAAAUCAAUAGACAUUAGUUGGACAUUAACAAGUGCUUUGUAAACCUAAAAUAGAUUCCCUCUACUUCUAUGUACUAUUUUGGCUAUCUAUUAAAAAUAGGCAAUUAAGCAAUUAUACUAAACAAAAUAUUUUAACCUUUGGGUAUCCUAAAAUGUAUGUGAGAAGAAGAGCUUGAGGAUUUACAUGGCAUCAUGUGAAAGGGUUAUCUGACAACUAAGAACUGAUUUUAUUUUAGUCAUACUGAAAUUUAAUGAAAAAUUUUUAAGUAUAAAGGUUUACUUUGGCCAAUUCCCUGAAUUUUCUAGCACAAAACUCAAUGGUGAAUGAUUGCUCUACUCCAGAAUUAAUAAAAAUAAUUUUUUAAAAAACAGCAUGGUACUUUGCAC